UACGGGGGGUGCGAGCGUUGUCCGGAAUCACUGGGCGUAAAGGGCGCGUAGGCGGUUUGGUAAGGCUGUGGUGAAAGCCCGGGGCUCAACCCCGGGUCUGCCGUGGCGACUGCCAGACUGGAGGGCUCGAGAGGCAGGCGGAAUUCCGGGUGUAGCGGUGGAAUGCGUAGAGAUCCGGAAGAAGACCGGUGGCGAAGGCGACACGCUGGGCCGUACCUGACGCUAAAGCGCGACAGCAUGGGGAGCAAACGGG
rnacentral:rRNA from 1 species